AGUAACACGUCGACAACCUGCCCCCACGUCUAGAAUAACCUUGGGAAACUGAGGCUAAUACUGGAUAGAGAAUUGAUGCUGGAAUGCACUUUUCUUGAAAGCUCCGGCGCGUGAGGAUGGGUCGGCGGCGGAUAGGCUGUUGGUGAGGUAAAGGCUCACCAAACCGAAGAUCCGUAGGGGGGAUGAGAGUCCUAGCCCCGAGAAGGGCACUGAGAUAAGGGCCCUAGCCCCAAGGGGUGCAGCAGGCGGGAAACCUUUACACUGCACGAAAGUGCGAUAAGGGAAUCCAAAGUGCUCGCUUACAGCGGGCUUUUACCAAGCGUAAAGAACUUGGAGAAUAAGUGGUGGGUAAGACUGGUGCCAGCCGCCGCGGUAACACCAGCGCCACGAGUGGGGGUCGCGAUUAUUGGGCCUAAAGCGUUCGUAGCCGAUUUGGUAAGUUUCUUGUGAAAUUGUCGGGCUUAACCCGACGAACGGCAAGAAAUACUGCCAAGUUAGGGACCGGGAGGAGGCAGAGGUACUCUUUGGGUAGCGGUAAAAUGCUAUAAUCCUUAGAGGACCACCUGUGGCGAAGGCGUCUGCCUAGAACGGGUCUGACGGUGAGGAACGAAAGCUGGGGGAGCAAACCGGAUUAGAUACCCGAGUAGUCCCAGCCGUAAACGCUGCGAACUAUGUGUUGCGCAUUCUCCGUGAAUGCGCAGUGCCGGAGCGAAGGUGUUAAGUUCGCCGCCUGGGAAGUAUGGUCGCAAGGCUGAAACUUAAAGGAAUUGGCGGGGACGCACUACAAGGAGUGCGGCGUGCGGUUUAAUCAGAUUCUACACCGUAAACCUCACCAGGAACGACGGCAGGAUGAAGGUCAGAUUGAAGGUCUUACCUAACGCGCCGAGAGGAGGUGCAUGGCCGCCGUCAGCUCGUGCUGUGAAGUGUCCAGUUAAGUCUGGCAACGAGCAAGACCUGCGUCUACAGUUGCAAACAGGCCCCCUGGGGUGACUGAGCACACUGUAGAGACUGCCUUGGAAACAAGGAGGAGGGUGCAGGCUACGGUAGGUGGUAUGCCCUGAAUUUCCUGGGCUACACGCGCAACAAUGGCAAGGACAAUGGGAUACGACUCCGAAAGGAGAAGUUAAACCUCUAAACCUUGUCUAAGUUCGGAUUGAGGGCUGCAACCCGCCCUCAUGACGUCGGAAUUCCUAGUAAUCGCUUGUCAUCAGCGAGCGGUGAAUACGUCCCUGUGUCUUGUACACGCCGCCCGUCAAGCCAUUCGAGCAGGGUCUGGGUGAGGUUCAGGUUCUUGCCUGAUUCGAACCU
rnacentral:rRNA from 1 species